AAUUACUUCCAUGCCACCCUGAACAAGCUUGGUCCUGUCUGAUCUCGGGAGCUAAGCAGGAUCAGGCCUGGUUAGUAUUUGGAUGGGAGGUCACCUAGGAAGACCAGGUGCUGUAGGCA
rnacentral:rRNA from 1 species